UACGUAGGGACCAAGCGUUGUUCGGAUUUACUGGGCGUAAAGGGCGCGUAGGCGGCGUGUUAAGUCACUUGUGAAAUCUCUGAGCUUAACUCAGAACGGUCAAGUGAUACUGAUGUGCUAGAGUGCAGAAGGGGCAACCGGAAUUCUUGGUGUAGCGGUGAAAUGCGUAGAUAUCAGGAGGAACACCGAUGGCGAAGGCAGGUCUCUGGGCUGACACUGACGCUCAUGCACGAAAGCGUGGGGAGCAAACAGG
rnacentral:rRNA from 1 species